rnacentral:rRNA from 1 species
UACGUAGGGUGCGAGCGUUGUCCGGAAUUAUUGGGCGUAAAGGGCUCGUAGGCGGUCUGUUGCGUCAGGAGUGAAAAACUCGGGGGCUUAACCCCCGAGCCUGCUUCUGAUACGGGCAGACUAGAGGUAUGCAGGGGGAGAACGGAAUUCCUGGUGUAGCGGUGAAAUGCGCAGAUAUCAGGAGGAACACCGGUGGCGAAGGCGGUUCUCUGGGCAUUACCUGACGCUGAGGCACGAAAGCUAGGGGAGCAAACAGG